GGAGAGAUGGCUCAGCGGUUAAGAGCACUGGCUGCUCUUCCAGAGGCCCUGAGUUCAAUUCCCAGCGACCCCA
rnacentral:tRNA from 1 species